AAGCUGCCCUACAGAUACUCCAAUUGCCUGAUACGGGAAAGGGGUCUUUUCCGCGAGCGUUGCGGAAUUAAAGAGGUCCCACUUCGUGGGCAUACCCGCAAUACAGGCCCUCCCGGGGGCGGGCCAGCGUUUCGCCGCAAGGCGUGGCUCCGGCUGCGGGUCGGGCGCUGGCUCCAGCCGGCGAGGGGACUCUUUGCCUGCACACGCGGCGGAAGGAGCCAGGGCGGCGGUGCUGCGACACUUCCAGCAGCUUCCAGACCGGCCAGGGCGGCCCUGCCCCGCCCCUUCCCUCGAGGCCCCGCCCCUCCCUCUGCGGCCUGGGCUGUGCCUCUGCGGCGGCUCCGCCCCGCAACCGCACUGCUGGGAUCCUGGGGGCCAAGUGGGCUAUACCCUCAUUUCCUCCAGGAAACUGCAGAGGGGGCGCAUUACCCUACCCGCCAGGCCCAGCUAGCCCGGCACUGCGUCCGGGGUGGGGUGGAGCGGGGAUUACCCCACUUCUCCCCCUUUCGAUCACACAGCACACCGGCCGGUGGGGCGGCUCUGAGGGUACCGCCUUCAGAGAGCAGACUCUGGGGAUGGGGUCGCUUACCCGACGGACCGCUCCCACCCUCCACCCCCAGUUUCUGCAGCCGCCCACAGGUGAGGGAGCGCAGAGACUUGCAUAUCGAGUUGUUUCUCAGUCUGGCUUCCUUGUUCUUUUUUUCCCACCCUUUUCCCUCCUACUGCAGCUGCCUAGAUCUGGGAAGUCGGGUCUCCCAGGAGCCUCAAGGCCAUGGGCCUGCCCAGGGAGUGCCAGAGGGCCAGGGACGCCCUCCUCUGAUGUCUCUGCCCCGUUUGCGUGCCCUCCAGCUGGUGAGCUGGCCUUACUUUUCCAAGGCCUUAUUUCUGAAGCCUCCUUUACGCAGAUCCCCUCCAGAAGAGAAUGGCCCCUCCCUACGCUGUGACUUUGUGGAUGUCCAGCAACUCCCUUCGUGGCCUGCUUUGUCGGUCCCUGGCAUCCUGGGGAGAAGUUCCCCCACCACCCACCCGCGGACCUCCCUCAGCAGCCCUGGUGCCCAGUCUCAUUCUUUCACAUUUUCUUUGUUCAUACGUUGA
rnacentral:lncRNA from 1 species